GCUGGUUGGUGAGGUAAUGGCCCACCAAGGCUACGAUGGGUAGGGGUUCUGAGAGGAAAGCCCCCCACACUGGUACUGAGACACGGACCAGACUCCUACGGGAGGCAGCAGUAAGGAAUAUUGGGCAAUGGUCGAAAGACUGACCCAGCCAUGCCGCGUGCAGGAUGAAGGCCCUAUGGGUUGUAAAUUGCUUUUAGCCGGGAAUAAACACCCGUUUUAUAACGGGCCCGAAGGCACCGGCUGAAUAAGCAUCGGCUAACUCCGUGCCAGCAGCCGCGGUAAUACGGAGGAUGCAAGCGUUAUCCGGAUUCACUGGGUUUAAAGGGUGCGCAGGCGGACAUUUAAGUCAGGGGUGAAAUCCUACAGCUUAACUGUAGAACUGCCCUUGAUACUGAAUGCCUAGAGUAAAGCUGAAGUGGGCGGAAUGUGUUGUGUAGCGGUGAAAUGCUUAGAUAUAACACAGAACACCAAUCGCGAAGGCAGCUCACUAAACUUUAACUGACGCUCAUGCACGAAAGCGUGGGGAGCAAACAGGAUUAGAUACCCUGGUAGUCCACGCCCUAAACGAUGAUCACUCGCUGUUGGCGAUAUAUUGUCAGUGGCUAA
rnacentral:rRNA from 1 species